rnacentral:rRNA from 1 species
UACAGAGGGUGCAAGCGUUAAUCGGAAUUACUGGGCGUAAAGGGUGCGUAGGUGGUUAGAUAAGUUAGGUGUGAAAGCCCUGGGCUUAACCUGGGAAUUGCGCCUAAUACUGUUUAGCUAGAGUACUGUAGAGGAAGGUGGAAUUUCCGGUGUAGCGGUGAAAUGCGUAGAUAUCGGAAGGAACAUCAGUGGCGAAGGCGACUUUCUGGACAGAUACUGACACUGAGGAGCGAAAGCGUGGGGAGCGAACAGG